UACGUAGGGGGCAAGCGUUGUCCGGAAUUAUUGGGCGUAAAGAGCUCGUAGGCGGUCUGUUGCGUCCGCUGUGAAAACUCGGGGCUUAACCCCGAGCCUGCAGUGGAUACGGGCAGACUAGAGGUAGGUAGGGGAGAAUGGAAUUCCCGGUGUAGCGGUGAAAUGCGCAGAUAUCGGGAGGAACACCGGUGGCGAAGGCGGUUCUCUGGGCCUUACCUGACGCUGAGAGACGAAAGCUAGGGGAGCGAAUGGG
rnacentral:rRNA from 1 species